UAUUGCCAGUUGCUACCAGGUAAUGCUGGGCACUCUGGUGAGACUGCCCGGUUAACGGGGAGGAAGGUGGGGACGACGUCAAGUCAUCAUGGCCCUUACGCCUAGGGCUACACACGUACUACAAUGGCGCAUACAAAGGGCAGCGAUACCGCGAGGUGGAGCCAAUCCCAAAAAGUGCGUCCCAGUCCGGAUUGCAGUCUGCAACUCGACUGCAUGAAGUUGGAAUCGCUAGUAAUCGCAGAUCAGCAACGCUGCGGUGAAUACGUUCCCGGGUCUU
rnacentral:rRNA from 1 species